CUACGUGCCAGCAGCCGCGGUAAUACGUAGGGUGCGAGCGUUAAUCGGAAUUACUGGGCGUAAAGCGAGCGCAGACGGUUACUUAAGCAGGAUGUGAAAUCCCCGGGCUCAACCUGGGAACUGCGUUCUGAACUGGGUGACUAGAGUGUGUCAGAGGGAGGUAGAAUUCCACGUGUAGCAGUGAAAUGCGUAGAGAUGUGGAGGAAUACCGAUGGCGAAGGCAGCCUCCUGGGAUAACACUGACGUUCAUGCUCGAAAGCGUGGGUAGCAAACAGGAUUAGAUACCCUGGUAGUCCACGCCCUAAACGAUGUCAAUUAGCUGUUGGGCAACUUGAUUGCUUAGUAGCGUAGCUAACGCGUGAAAUUGACCGCCUGGUGAGUACGGUCGCAAGAUUAAAACUCAAAGGAAUUGACGGGGACCCGCACAAGCGGUGGAUGAUGUGGAUUAAUUCGAUGCAACGCGAAGAACCUUACCUGG
rnacentral:rRNA from 1 species